UACGUAGGGUGCGAGCGUUAAUCGGAAUUACUGGGCGUAAAGCGCACGUAGGCGGCUUUUUAAGUCAGAGGUGAAAUCCUGGAGCUCAACUCCAGAACUGCCUUUGAUACUGGAGAGCUUGAGUCCGGGAGAGGUGAGUGGAACUGCGAGUGUAGAGGUGAAAUUCGUAGAUAUUCGGAAGAACACCAGUGGCGAAGGCGACUUACUGGACACAUAUUGACGCUGAGGUGCGAAAGCGUGGGGAGCAAACAGG
rnacentral:rRNA from 1 species